rnacentral:lncRNA from 1 species
GAUGUUAACGGGUUGGAUUCAUGACGGAUUUUCAAAAAUCCGAAUCCAACCCGACUACCAAAUUCGAAACCCGAAUUCGAAUCUGACUGAUUUUGAAAAUCCAUAUCCAAACCCAAAUCCGACUAGAAAUUCAAAAUCCGAACGUGAAACAAUUAUUUCUCUUUUCCAUAUUUUAAAACAUAUUACAUCAAAUCUAUUUUUUCAAAAAUACAAAUUUAAAUAUAACAUCAAAUAUUUUAUAUAUAUAUAUAUAUAUAUAUAUAUAUAUAUU